CCUACGGGUUGCAGCAGUGGGGAAUAUUGCACAAUGGGCGCAAGCCUGAUGCAGCCAUGCCGCGUGUAUGAAGAAGGCCCUAGGGUUGUAAAGUACUUUCAGUCGGGAGGAAGGCGUUAAUGCUAAUAUCAUCAACGCUUGACGUUACCGACAGAAGAAGCACCGGCUAACUCCGUGCCAGCAGCCGCGGUAAUACGGAGGGUGCAAGCGUUAAUCGGAAUUACUGGGCGUAAAGCGCACGCAGGCGGUUGAUUAAGUUAGAUGCGAAAUCCCCGGGCUUAACCUGGGAAUGGCAUCUAAGACUGGUCAGCUAGAGUCUUGUAGAGGGGGGUAGAAUUCCAUGUGUAGCGGUGAAAUGCGUAGAGAUGUGGAGGAAUACCGGUGGCGAAGGCGGCCCCCUGGACAAAGACUGACGCUCAGGUGCGAAAGCGUGGGGAGCAAACAGGAUUAGAUACCCGUGUAGUC
rnacentral:rRNA from 1 species